rnacentral:rRNA from 1 species
UACAGAGGUGGCAAGCGUUGUUCGGAAUUACUGGGCGUAAAGGGCGCGUAGGCGGCCUUCUAAGUCAGACGUGAAAUCCCCCGGCUUAACCUGGGAACUGCGUCUGAUACUGGAGGGCUUGAGUGCGGGAGAGGGAUGUGGAAUUCCAGGUGUAGCGGUGAAAUGCGUAGAUAUCUGGAGGAACACCGGUGGCGAAGGCGGGUCUCUGGGCAGUAACUGACGCUGAGGAGCGAAAGCGUGGGGAGCGAACAGG